rnacentral:miRNA from 1 species
AAGGGGACUUCUAAUUGUUUGUA